rnacentral:rRNA from 1 species
UCUGGUUGAUCCUGCCAGUAGUCAUAUGCUUGUCUCAAAGAUUAAGCCAUGCAUGUCUAAGUAUAAGCAAUUUAUACAGUGAAACUGCGAAUGGCUCAUUAAAUCAGUUAUCGUUUAUUUGAUAGUUCCUUUACUACAUGGUAUAACUGUGGUAAUUCUAGAGCUAAUACAUGCUUAAAAUCUCGACCCUUUGGAAGAGAUGUAUUUAUUAGAUAAAAAAUCAAUGUCUUCGGACUCUUUGAUGAUUCAUAAUAACUUUUCGAAUCGCAUGGCCUUGUGCUGGCGAUGGUUCAUUCAAAUUUCUGCCUAUAUCAACUUUCGAUGGUAGGAUAGUGGCCUACCAUGGUUUCAACGGGUAACGGGGAAUAAGGGUUCGAUUCCGGAGAGGGAGCCUGAGAAACGGCUACCACAUCCAAGGAAGGCAGCAGGCGCGCAAAUUACCCAAUCCUAAUUCAGGGAGGUAGUGACAAUAAAUAACGAUACAGGGCCCAUUCGGGUCUUGUAAUUGGAAUGAGUACAAUGUAAAUACCUUAACGAGGAACAAUUGGAGGGCAAGUCUGGUGCCAGCAGCCGCGGUAAUUCCAGCUCCAAUAGCGUAUAUUAAAGUUGUUGCAGUUAAAAAGCUCGUAGUUGAACUUUGGGCCCGGUUGGCCGGUCCGAUUUUUUCGUGUACUGGAUUUCCAACGGGGCCUUUCCUUCUGGCUAACCUUGAGUCCUUGUGGCUCUUGGCGAACCAGGACUUUUACUUUGAAAAAAUUAGAGUGUUCAAAGCAGGCGUAUUGCUCGAAUAUAUUAGCAUGGAAUAAUAGAAUAGGACGUUUGGUUCUAUUUUGUUGGUUUCUAGGACCAUCGUAAUGAUUAAUAGGGACGGUCGGGGGCAUCAGUAUUCAAUUGUCAGAGGUGAAAUUCUUGGAUUUAUUGAAGACUAACUACUGCGAAAGCAUUUGCCAAGGACGUUUUCAUUAAUCAAGAACGAAAGUUAGGGGAUCGAAGAUGAUCAGAUACCGUCGUAGUCUUAACCAUAAACUAUGCCGACUAGGGAUCGGGUGGUUUUUUUUUAAUGACCCGCUCGGCACGGUUUGGGUUUGAGAAACUGGUCAGGGCAUGAAAUCGGGACUGAAGGGCCCCACCAGGAGUGGAGCCUGCGGCUUAAUUUGACAACACGGGGAAAACUCACCAGGUCCACACGCAUUAAGGAUUGAAAGAUUGAGAGCUCUUUCUUGAAUUUGUGGGAUGGUGGUUCUUGGCCGUGGUGGGUCGGUGGAGUGAUUUGUCUGCUGCGUUGCGAUAACGAACGAGACCUUAACCUACUAAAUAGUGGUGCUAGGCUAGCAUUUGCUGGUUAUCCACUUCUUAGAGGGACUAUCGGUUUCAAGCCGAUGGAAGUUUGAGGCAAUAACAGGUCUGUGAUGCCCUUAGACGUUCUGGGCCGCACGCGCGCUACACUGACGGAGCCAGCGAGUCUAACCUUGGCCGAGAGGUCUUGGUAAUCUUGUGAAACUCUCCGUCGUGCUGGGGAUAGAGCAUUGUAAUUAUUGCUCUUCAACGAGGAAUUCCUAGUAAGCGCAAGUCAUCAGCUUGCGUUGAUUACGUCCCUGCCCUUUGUACACACCGCCCGUCGCUAGUACCGAUUGAAUGGCUUAGUGAGGCCUCAGGAUCUGCUUAGAGAAGGGGGCAACUCCAUCUCAGAGCGGAGAAUUUGGACAAACUUGGUCAUUUAGAGGAACUAAAAGUCGUAACAAGGUUUCCGUAGGUGAACCUGCGGAAG